UACCAUGGUGGUAACGGGUAACGGGGUGUUAGGGCACGACACCGGAGAGGGAGCCUGAGAAACGGCUACCACAUCCAAGGAUGGCAGCAGGCGCGCAAAUUACCCAAUCCCGACACGGGGAGGUAGUGACAAUAAAUAACAAUACGGGGUUCUUUAGGAUCUCGUAAUUGGAAUGAGUACAAUUUAAAUCUCUUAACGAGGAACAAUUGGAGGGCAAGUCUGGUGCCAGCAGCCGCGGUAAUUCCAGCUCCAAUAGCGUAUAUUAAAGUUGUUGCAGUUAAAAAGCUCGUAGUUAAAUUUCGGGGUUAGUAGGUUGGUCAUGCCUCUGGUAUGUACUGAUCUCACUGAUUCCUCCUUCCUUAUGAACCGUAAUGCCAUUAAUUUGGUGUUGCGGGGAAUUUGGACUGUUACUUUGAAAAAAUUAGAGUGUUUAAAGCAAGCUAACGCUUGAAUACAUUAGCAUGGAAUAAUGAAAUAGGACGUUCGAUCUUAUUUUGUUGGUUUCUAGGAUUGACGUAAUGAUUAAUAGGGAUAGUUGGGGGCAUUAGUAUUCAAUUGUCAGAGGUGAAAUUCUUGGAUUUAUUGAAGACUAACUACUGCGAAAGCAUUUGCCAAGGAUGUUUUCAUUAAUCAAGAACGAAAGUUAGGGGAUCGAAGACGAUCAGAUACCGUCGUAGUCUUAACCAUAAACUAUGCCGACUAGGGAUCGGAUGA
rnacentral:rRNA from 1 species